GAGCCUGCGUCCCAUUAGCUAGUUGGUGAGGUAACGGCUCACCAAGGCGUCGAUCGGUAGCCGGCCUGAGAGGGUGAUCGGCCACACUGGAACUGAGACACGGUCCAGACCGCUACGGUGGGCAGCAGUACGGAAUAUUGCGCAAUGGGCGAAAGCCUGAUCCAGCCAUGCCGCGUGAGUGAUUUGAAGGCCCUAGGGUUGUAAAGCUCUUUCGGCGGGGAAGAUGAUGACGGUACCCGCAGAAGAAGCCCCGGCUAACUCCGUGCCAGCAGCCGCGGUAAUACGGAGGGGGCUAGCGUUGCUCGGAAUCACUGGGCGUAAAGCGAGCGUAGGCGGCCGCGCAAGUCGGGGGUGAAAGCCCGGGGCUCAACCCCGGAAUUGCCCUCGAAACUGCGUGGCUAGAGGCCGGGAGAGGAGAGUGGAAUUCCCAGUGGAGAGGUGAAAUUCGCAGAUAUUGGGAGGAACACCGGUGGCGAAAGCGGCUCUCUGGAACGGUUCUGACGCUGAGGCUCGAAAGCGUGGGGAGCAAACAGGAUUAGAUACCCUGGUAGUCCACGCCGUAAACGAUGAACGCUAGGUGUCGGAG
rnacentral:rRNA from 1 species